rnacentral:rRNA from 1 species
UACGAAGGGUGCAAGCGUUACUCGGAAUUACUGGGCGUAAAGCGUGCGUAGGUGGUUUGUUAAGUCUGUUGUGAAAGCCCCGGGCUCAACCUGGGAAUGGCAAUGGAUACUGGCAAGCUAGAGUGCGGUAGAGGGUAGUGGAAUUCCCGGUGUAGCGGUGAAAUGCGUAGAGAUCGGGAGGAACACCAGUGGCGAAGGCGGCCACCUGGACCAGCACUGACACUGAGGCACGAAAGCGUGGGGAGCAAACAGG